rnacentral:snRNA from 1 species
UUGGCUAAGUCCGUUCGG